AGCUCCAAGAGCGUAUAUUAAAGUUGUUGCAGUUAAAAAGCUCGUAGUUGGAUUUCUGGUAUUACGCGCCUGGCCCGCAUUUGUGAGUGCCGGUGCGCGUUUGCCAUCCUUCUAGAAAACGUUUCUACCCGGGCAACUGGGCCGGACUCGCGAUCUAGAUCUUUUACUUUGAAAAAAUUAGAGUGUUUAAAGCAGGCUUUUGCUGUGAAUACAUUAGCAUGGAAUAAUAAUCUAGGACUUCGGUUCUAUUUUGUUGGUUUCUAGUACUGAAGUAAUGAUUGAUAGGGAUAGUUGGGGGUGCUAGUAUUGGCCGGCCAGAGGUGAAAUUCUUGGAUUCGGUCAAGACUAACUUAUGCGAAAGCAUUCACCAAGGAUGUCUUCUUUA
rnacentral:rRNA from 1 species